rnacentral:tRNA from 1 species
CCAGGAAAGAGAGAUUUUAACUGCCCACCACUAACUCCCAAAGCUAGUAUUCUAAGCUAAACUAUUUUCUGA